rnacentral:rRNA from 1 species
AUUGAACGCUGGCGGCAGGCCUAACACAUGCAAGUCGAACGAGUGGCGGACGGGUGAGUAAUGUCUGGGAAACUGCCCGAUGGAGGGGGAUACCUACUGGAAAAGGUAGCUAAUACCGCAUAACAUAGGAUGUGCCCAGAUGGGAUUAUCUAGUAGGUGGGGUAACGGCUCACCUAGGCGACGAUCCCUAGCUGGUCUGAGAGGAUGACCAGCCACACUGGAACUGAGAAACGGUCCAGACUCCUACGGGAGGAAGCAGUGGGGAAUAUUGCACAAUGGGCGCAAGCCUGAUACAGCCAUGCCGCGUGUAUGAAGAAGGCCUUCGGGUUGUAAAGUACUUUCAGCGAGGAGGCGUUACUCGCAGAAGAAGCACCGGCUAACUCCGUGCCAGCAGCCGCGGUAAUAC